UUUAUACUCCCUCCGUUCCAAAAUUCUUGUCUUAAAUUUGUCUAAAUACGGAUGUAUCAAGUCACGUUUUAGUAUUAGAUACAUCCGUAUCUAGAAAAAUCUAAGACAAGAAUUUUGAGACGGUGGGAGUACUAA
rnacentral:pre_miRNA from 1 species